ensembl:lncRNA
CCUUUAUUUGAAUAAACUAUUCAAGAUUUUUAAAAAAGCCACUGUUAAAAUAUGUAAAUUGAUCCAGGGAAGAACGCUCGGCUCACACGUAGUCUUUCAUAUCUCGAUGUUGUCCAUUACAAAGUGCAUCUCCUUUCCACUUUUUCAUGUCAUCUUGUCUUUAUUGGCAGCUUGUGUGCUGCUCUCUAUUGAUGAGAUCGUGCUGGCCCGUCCUGUGCUCUUCAGCGGAGAUCCAGAAGAGGAUGUGAUGUGAUGGACCACGAAAGGGCUGAUUCAGGCAGCGGCUCUCAGGGCUCUGUCAGGAGGCCUGCUACUCUUCCCACAACUCCCAGAAGUCCACACUGUUCCGGACAACAGAUAAAGUGCAGCAGUCACGGUGGGAAAUGUAGUCUGCUGCUCGACGUGACUAAUUAGGUCAGUUCCUUUGGCAGCUGCAGGUGAGAGGUGCUCGCUCGCGUUUGCUUCGUGUUGAACACCUCCGGGACGGUGGAGCUUCAGAGCCGUGCUGGGGUGAUGGGAGUUUCAGGCUGUGAUGCGAGGCCCAUGUGUAUUUUCAUGAAAACGCUCCGCUUCAAAGAAGUACUACAACACCCAUGACGCGAAGAUAUUAAAAGAGUCAUAAAGAACCAGUGUUCAUACCAUUCAAACUACUUGUCAGCUGAUACAGGGUUCAGGAUUUCUUGAAUAUUUAACAAAAGUACAUGAGAUACAUUGCACUAAUUUCCAUUAGUGCAAAUUACUACUAACAGUUGCUUAAAUGUGU